AGAAGCUUUUAUUAUUCAAAUGAUCUCUUUUAUAAUUUGAUUUGUUAAAAUAUCAGGAACACAAUAUUGUAAAACCUACCCCAUUGUAUCUUCAUACUGACAUUUGCUAUUAGUCGUCAUCAUUAUCUAGCUCCUGGAUAUCUGCACCUUAGGGUGUUUUACUUCAUUUAUCACACACAGCCCAUAUUCAUUAGACAUGUGCAAUUCGUUUCGAUGAGAAUUAAAAUUCGAAAGAGCUUCGUCAAUUCAGACAUUCGUAUGCUUCCAAAUUAUCAACGUGCCGAAUUUCCGAAGCGCCAAAGUGUCGAAUUUCCGAAGUGCUGAACCGACCCUAAGUGCCGAAUUGCUGAAGCCCCGAAUUUCGGAGGUGCCAAACAGAACCAAUUUUUUUGCCCAUGCACUUCCCUAAUAUUCAUAACAUAUUGUUUAGGUAUUUGGCUCCAGAUCUCCAAUCCAAGAUGAAUACUUACAUUCAGCGUUAUGUAAUACAGGGAGUGCAGAAUUAUUAGGCAAAUGAGUAUUUUGACCACAUCAUCCUCUUUAUGCAUGUUGUCUUACUCCAAGCUGUAUAGGCUCGAAAGCCUACUACCAAUUAAGCAUAUUAGGUGAUGUGCAUCUCUGUAAUGAGAAGGGGUGUGGUCUAAUGACAUCAACACCCUAUAUCAGGUGUGCAUAAUUAUUAGGCAACUUCCUUUCC